rnacentral:rRNA from 1 species
AACGAACGCUGGCGGCAUGCCUAACACAUGCAAGUCGAACGAUGCCUUCGGGCCUAGUGGCGCACGGGUGCGUAACGCGUGGGAAUCUGCCUUUCGGUUCGGAAUAACUCAGGGAAACUUGAGCUAAUACCGGAUAACGUCGCAAGACCAAAGAUUUAUCACCGAAAGAUGAGCCCGCGUAGGAUUAGCUAGUUGGUGAGGUAAAGGCUCACCAAGGCGACGAUCCUUAGCUGGUCUGAGAGGAUGAUCAGCCACACUGGGACUGAGACACGGCCCAGACUCCUACGGGAGGCAGCAGUGGGGAAUAUUGGACAAUGGGCGGAAGCCUGAUCCAGCAAGGCCGCGUGAGUGAUGAAGGCCUUAGGGUUGUAAAGCGCUUUUACCCGGGAAGAUAAUGACGGUACCGGGAGAAUAAGCCCCGGCUAACUCCGUG